UCUUGAAGAGGACUUGACAUUCUUUGCUGUAUUCUGAUUUGAAGUCCUUUUUCUGCUCCCUUGACGGACCCCAUCAUUUAUUUGACCGACGAAAUUCUUGCCCAUCAAAUUGAAGAGAAUUAGCAAAAUCUUGCCGUGCAAGCUACUCCAUUUGUGACCUUGUCCGCAAGCAAUGGCAUUCAUAGCUUCAAUAGCUGAAUCAGAACUAUCCAGCAAACGUAAUUACAAAAGAAGCUCUUGGAUUCGAGGUGUUAAGAAUUAAAUCCUUUCUUUCCUGUACAUUGGUGAUGAAGCUAAAUAGAGGAUGAGCGUAAAGACAAGUAAGAAUGAAGAUAUUGGUUGGAGUUGAAAGCCGUCCUCUACUCAUAAUUUUUAUCAACAGGGACAAGUUAACUUGUCUCUUCGGCUCCACCCAUCAAUCUUAUGCCAUUUUUAAAUGGAGAUUCAUUGCCAACCAAAAGAGAUAUGCAUGAUGAACACUUCGUUGUCUUAUUGAGACAGAAUUCAAUUUAUCCAGCAACAAAAUAAAAUGCAAUACUUUCUCCAAUGCUGCUCAUUUUCGCUAGGUCUGAAGGCUCUCAAUCAAUGGGAAGUAUUUCAACUUUAUUCUCGUUUACAUCAUCCAUCACGUCCUUAAUCUCAAAGAUAAUCAUACAAUUGAAUUUUACGAACCACUCUACCGUGAUUUUCUUUUCUUCCUGCAAUAUCUGUCUAACACUAAUAUAAUAGUGAACUCCGCUUAGUUGUCUAUACCAGCUGAAUCUUCCCUCUAUACUGUCAGACUGAAACAUUCCAUGCAAUAUAUAGUCAAAGUCCUUAUUUUAACUAUCCAGCAAGUACUCAGCAAGAUCUGCUGCAGCCAAACAAGUAUGCUUAGUUCGCAAAAAAAUUUCUUUCGUGAGUCAUCUUCCACCACUAUCUUCCCAAACAGUGACCCAACUGUUGAUGUCUUUACAUUUAAGAUGUUCCACUUGGUCCAUACAAAUUCAAGAAACUCAACUGUGUCCAUGAACUCAGGUCUUUCAUUGGAGUAAAACUUAAGGGGUCUAAUGGUUGAUUCAUG
rnacentral:lncRNA from 1 species